UGGUUAAGUUGUCAACAGUCAGUACA
rnacentral:piRNA from 2 species